rnacentral:rRNA from 1 species
UACGUAGGUGGCAAGCGUUGUCCGGAAUUAUUGGGCGUAAAGCGCGCGCAGGCGGUCCUUUAAGUCUGAUGUGAAAGCCCACGGCUCAACCGUGGAGGGUCAUUGGAAACUGGGGGACUUGAGUACAGAAGAGAAGAGUGGAAUUCCACGUGUAGCGGUGAAAUGCGUAGAGAUGUGGAGGAACACCAGUGGCGAAGGCGGCACUCUGGACUGGAACUGACGCUGAGGAGCGAAAGCGUGGGGAGCGAACAGG